UCAUAUGUUGUUCCAAAAUAGAAUAAAAUUUUAAAUUAAUUUUUUAAACUUCUAUUUUUUCCUUAUUUUAUUAUCAUCAUAAAUUAAAAUAUUUUUAAAAUAUAUUUUUUAUGUUAUAUAUAUAAUCUAAUUAUUUAUUUUCAAAAUAUUUUAUAUUAAAAUCUAAAUUUUCAAAGUAAUAAAUUCAAACGAAAUAUUAAAUAUUUAUUUAUUUUAUAUAAUUUAUAAUUAAUUUGUGUUCGGAUCGGAUACAGAAAAAAUUCAUAUCCAAAUUAAAAUAUGUUGAUUUUUUUUAUUUUUUUAUAUCUAUAUUCAAAUUUAUAUCAGUUAAGUAUUAAAUUC
rnacentral:lncRNA from 1 species